rnacentral:sRNA from 1 species
GAUACCAGGGUCAAAAGGUCAGAAGUUCGACGCAAGCUUGCUUGCAGGAGAAUUUUUGACCUUGGGACCCGCCAAAAACAUGAAUAAGUAGCCAUUUUUCGCAGAAAAAUGAGCGAAUUAUGAAUGUUUUUGAUGAUUGCGGGAGUACGAAGUACGGAGCAAUCCGGU